AAUAUUACGGCUCUGCCCACAGAAUUGUCUUUCUUUUACCCCGGCUGUGCCCCGAGUUAUAAUUGGUCCGUCCUCCCGUGACAGACGCCGAUCACAACGCCGUACGAUUUUGUACAGGUCUCGUGCUCUUAUAUCCGUGUAAUAUCCGUUUAUGUAUAGUAUUUUAUAGCCUUUAAACGCGUGCGGACGGAGACCACGAUCUGUUUGUCCCUCGCAUGGCAAUCGCCUUGCGGGCGCUCAUAUCGAUACUAUCCAGCACACCUACUAGCGCAGACCACUUGGACCGUCCCUGUACGUCUGCCUCCCUCGUAUACACCCCGCACAAUAUUUUAUUACGUCUCGGAAAUAAUGACGUC